rnacentral:rRNA from 1 species
UACGUAGGCAGCGAGCGUUGUUCGGAGUUACUGGGCGUAAAGAGUGCGUAGGCGGUCAGCCAAGUUUGGUGUGAAAUCUCCCGGCUCAACUGGGAGGGUGCGCCGAAAACUGGUUGGCUAGAGUAUGGGAGAGGAAAGCGGAAUUCCUGGUGUAGCGGUGAAAUGCGUAGAUAUCAGGAGGAACACCUGUGGUGUAGACAGCUUUCUGGACCAUAACUGACGCUGAGGCACGAAAGCGUGGGUAGCAAACAGG